CACCCCUGAAGGAGUUUUCGGACAACGGAAGGGAAUGCUUAGUGGCGGACUGGUGAGUAACGCGUGAGGAACCUGCCUUUCGGAGGGGGACAACAGUUGGAAACGACUGCUAAUACCGCAUGACGCAUUUGGAUCGCAUGGUCUGAAUGUCAAAGAUUUAUCGCCGAAAGAUGGCCUCGCGUCUGAUUAGCUAGUUGGUGAGGUAACGGCCCACCAAGGCGACGAUCAGUAGCCGGACUGAGAGGUUGGCCGGCCACAUUGGGACUGAGAUACGGCCCAGACUCCUACGGGAGGCAGCAGUGGGGAAUAUUGGGCAAUGGACGCAAGUCUGACCCAGCAACGCCGCGUGAAGGAAGAAGGCUUUCGGGUUGUAAACUUCUUUUAAGGGGGAAGAGCAGAAGACGGUACCCCUUGAAUAAGCCACGGCUAACUACGUGCCAGCAGCCGCGGUAAUACGUAGGUGGCAAGCGUUGUCCGGAUUUACUGGGUGUAAAGGGCGUGCAGCCGGAGAGACAAGUCAGAUGUGAAAUCCACGGGCUCAACCCGUGAACUGCAUUUGAAACUGUUUCCCUUGAGUGUCGGAGAGGUAAUCGGAAUUCCUAGUGUAGCGGUGAAAUGCGUAGAUAUUAGGAAGAACACCAGUGGCGAAGGCGGAUUACUGGACGAUAACUGACGGUGAGGCGCGAAAGCGUGGGGAGCAAACA
rnacentral:rRNA from 1 species